rnacentral:RNase_P_RNA from 1 species
GAAGCUGACCAGACAGUCGCCGCUUCGUCGUCGUCCUUUCGGGGAGACGGGCGGAGGGGAGGAAAGUCCGGGCUCCAUAGGGCAGGGUGCCAGGUAACGCCUGGGGGGGAAACCCACGACCAGUGCAACAGAGAGCAAACCGCCGAUGGCCCACGCAAGUGGGAUCAGGUAAGGGUGAAAGGGU